UCAAUUCUCACUUCUCACACUCGCCCUUUUUUAUUCUUAUUUAAUUUCUAUUUCUUUAAUUUUUUAAUUCCGCACAGCCCUCUGUCUCUCUGCUGGCCUUGCGGUUUUAUCCGGCCGGAACCUGUACAGCCUUCAAAAUUUUCCUGUUUCGUAACUGAAGCCUCAUCAUCUCUUCGGAUAGUUUGCUAUAAAUGGUCCUCCAGCAGUUGUAUCUUUUCGCUUGGUUAUUUCCUACUCGAAAAUAAGCUCUACCCACACUAUUGGACCUCUUUGUUAGGCUGGCUUGGCUAUGGCGAUUGCUGCAGCAGCUGUUAUUCUUCCGGUGGCCGUCCUCUUCUUCAUCUAUGGCUUAGUCGUCAAUCUUCUUCCGGCUUUCUUUUUCGUUGUUGUGCACACCCUUUUUCGAAGAAUACUUGCCGAAAAAUUGGCAGGGUGGUUGGGAAGUUGUGGCUGGAAUUCAUUUGGAUGAUUUGGCUGAUUGAUUGCUGGGCUGUUGUUAAGGUUCAAGAACACAAUCACCUCGCAUAUACUUCUACGGCAAAAUGGGAACACUUUUUGCAAGCUUCCCGGUGGGCGUCUAAAGCCAGUAGAGAAUACUAAUUUAUCUAAUAUUUUUAGGUUUACAUUAUCUUUAAUCAUGUUUGUUAUUCUUUUCGUCAGCGGUUCCUUCCUUAUGAUGCCACCCACUCCUGGUUUACUUGAUAAUUUAGAAAUUUAAAACUUGAAAAGAAAGCUUCCAUGUCUCAGUAUUCUGUUGCUACUUCUACAUUAGCUAGAGUUGCAGAGCUGUUACAAAUUGAAAGGACAAUAAUGGAAAUCUAUGGAGUUUUUCAAACCAAAUGCAGGGCUCUGGAGAAUUAGAGAACCAGAAGCUUAAGCCCAAGGGGUGGAUGAAGGCCAUCUGCUGCAGCUGUUGGCCGAGUGUCUCUUCAUGCGGCGAAGGUGGGAAUUUGGACAGAACUACGACGAUAGCAAGUGCAGAACAUAUGAUGGUUCAAGAUAAGCUGGAUCAGAGAAGUCAUCAUAUGAUCCUAGAGAAGAUUUUAGGGAAUCUAUAUUGGAGAUGAUUACAACAAGUACUAUUAAUGAGCUAAAAGAUUUAAAAAGUCUGAACUAUUAUGUUUCAAUGAACAGGGAAAAAUAUAGAGGAGUCAUACUUGAGGUAUUCCAUGAGGUCUGUACUUAUAUGUUCUUGAAUUGUAAAUACUACUCAUGAGCUAUCAGACUCUGUUCUUGAAACAGAAAAUAGUUCAGAUGAAAGUAAAAACGAUAACUACCAUGUGUUUCACUAAUGAAGUUGACAGAGUUGAUGUGUUUUUCAAGCAAGUGUAGAAGACAAAGGCGACAUUUGAACUCCGUCCUGCAAGAACACAUUGAAACAAUAUUACCUGGACACAACCGUUCGAUUAUUUACACUGCACAAAAUAUGUAAUUUUUAUUCCGCUCUUAAUAUCUUCCAGUAGGCUAUAAGCCUAUAUUACAUUACAUCUAUAUAAUGAUCGUUAGGUUGAAAUUCUAUAUGAAACUAUUUUCUUCUACUUGCUACU